rnacentral:misc_RNA from 1 species
GAAAAAGUCACCAUGCCUGUUCUCAUCCUGGCACCAGUUCUCGAAGUACUUGAAGAUAGGAUAGACUUGAUACUCAGGAUUGGCCUUCAAAUGCCGAUAAAUCGUGAUGUACCUCCAGUAUCCAAUCUUUUCGGACAGGUAGGUAGCAUAGAAGAUGAACUUCGGCUUGAAGAAUGUGUACUUACGGGCCUUGGUUAGGAAACCCAGAUCCAAUGCUAGAUUGAAAUCAGAGAGACCCUUGUUCAGAAACCCGGCAUGCCUGGCUUCAUCCCUUGACAUAAGCGAGAAGAUCUCAGCCACCACU